rnacentral:tRNA from 1 species
GCGGGAAUAGCUCAAUUGGUAGAGCAUCAGCCUUCCAAGCUGAGGGUUGCGAGUUCGAGACUCGUUUCCCGCU